rnacentral:misc_RNA from 1 species
GGAAGUAAAAGUGUAACAAGGUCUCCGUAGGUGAACCUGCGGAGGGAUCAUUACAGAGUUCUCGCCCUCGCGGGUAGAUCUCCCACCCACUGUUAUCGUUACUGUGUUGCUUUGGCGGGCCGCCGGGCCCCGCUCGGCCGCCGGCUCCGGCUGGCGCGCGCCCGCCAGAGGCCCAGCAAACUCUGAAUGUUAGUGUCGUCUGAGUACUAUAUAAUAGUUAAAACUUUCAACAACGGGUCCCUUGGUUCUG